GACGAACGCUGGCGGCGUGCUUAACACAUGCAAGUCGUACGACAGCAUUUCCUUUUAGGUUGUGUUUGGAGUGGCGAACGGGUGAGUAACACGUGGGUGACCUGCCCUCAGCUCUGGGAUAAGCCUGGGAAACCGGGUCUAAUACCGGAUAUGACUCCAUGACGCAUGUUGUGGGGUGGAAAGCCUUGUGCGGCUGAGGAUGGGCCCGCGGCCUAUCAGCUUGUUGGUGGGGGAUGGCCUACCAAGGCGACGACGGGUAGCCGGCCUGAGAGGGCGACCGGCCACACUGGGACUGAGACACGGCCCAGACUCCUACGGGAGGCAGCAGUGGGGAAUCUUGCGCAAUGGGCGAAAGCCUGACGCAGCGACGCCGCGUGAGGGAUGACGGCCUGGUGUAACGUCUUCUAGCUCCGACGACGCGACGAGUGACGGUAGGAGGCGAGAAGAAGACGACCGGACCGAA
rnacentral:rRNA from 1 species